CCUACGGGAGGCAGCAGUGGGGAAUAUUGCACAAUGGGGGAAACCCUGAUGCAGCGACGCCGCGUGAGUGAAGAAGUAUUUCGGUAUGUAAAGCUCUAUCAGCAGGGAAGAAAAUGACGGUACCUGACUAAGAAGCCCCGGCUAACUACGUGCCAGCAGCCGCGGUAAUACGUAGGGGGCAAGCGUUAUCCGGAUUUACUGGGUGUAAAGGGAGCGUAGACGGUAGAGCAAGUCUGAAGUGAAAGGCCGGGGCUGAACCCCGGAACUGCAUUGGAAACUGUGCAACUAGAGUGCAGGAGAGGUAAGUGGAAUUCCUAGUGUAGCGGUGAAAUGCGUAGAUAUUAGGAGGAACACCAGUGGCGAAGGCGGUUUACUGGACUGUAACUGACGUUGAGGCUCGAAAGCGUGGGGAGCAAACAGGAUUAGAUACCCUUGUAGUC
rnacentral:rRNA from 1 species